rnacentral:rRNA from 1 species
UACGUAGGGUGCGAGCGUUAAUCGGAAUUACUGGGCGUAAAGCGUGCGCAGGCGGUUUUGUAAGCCAGAUGUGAAAUCCCCGGGCUUAACCUGGGAAUGGCAUUUGGGACUGCAAGGCUGGAGUUUGGCAGAGGAGACUGGAAUUCCUGGUGUAGCAGUGAAAUGCGUAGAUAUCAGGAGGAAUACCGAUGGCGAAGGCGGCAUCCUGGACCGAAACUGACACUGAGGCGCGAAAGCCAGGGGAGCAAACGGG